AAAAAUUCUCUCAAAAAGUGUUCUUCAAGCUUCAAAUUCCAAAUCCUCAAAAAACCAAAAAGGUAGAAAUAAUACAAAAACUCCAAAAAUACACUGUUGUAUUGAGAUUUCUGCAAGUUCAGUUAUGAAUUCGAGUUACUAGUGUCCCUGAGUUCAAUUUCAUGUUGUUUUUGGAUAUAUUCAAGCUAUUUUGGUUUGUUUUAGUUGCUGGGUUUUUAGAAGUGUUUCUGAAUUUGAUUUCGAGGUCCUUUAGGUUUUGUUCAAGCUGUCUUCGGUUUAUCUGUUGGUUUCUGUUUGGUUUAGAAUUAUCCUUCGACUAUUGAAUCUAUUAUGGGCUUGCCGGGUUGGUGUGUUACUGUUGCUGACCUUCAUCUUUUAUUUCUUACCUUGCACUUCCAGGUACAAGCCUAAACUCUCAAUAACAUGUAAUUGAGUUGGUGAAUCAAAUGGAAAAGGCCUAUUUAGCUUCCCUGUUUGUUGCUCCUGCACUUCUCAGCUUGCUUCUGCGUAUCAGUUCGUAGUUUAGCUCGUUUGCUUCUAAAUGGUUAAAUGUUGUAACUGUAUUAGGAUAAUUUGUAUAACUGGGACUGGAAUGGACUGCUUGGACUGUUUAUUGGUAAUAGGCUGUUGAUAUUCAUUAGCUUAGCAUGUUUAUGUUUGUGACUAGUUUAGCUGUCAAUGUUAGC
rnacentral:lncRNA from 1 species